AGAGUUUGGAUCCCUGGGCUCAGGACGAACGCUGGCGGCGUGCUUAAGACAUGCAAGUCGAACGGUAAGGCCCCCUUCGGGGGGUACACGAGUGGCGCACGGGUGAGUAACGCGUGGGUAAUCUACCUUCGGGUUUGGGACAACUUCGGGAAACUGGAGCUAAUACCGAAUAAGACCACGAGGUCCUCGGACCUCGCGGAAAAAGGUGGCCUCUUCUUGAAAGCUACCGCCUGUUGAUGUGCCCGCGUCCCAUUAGCUUGUUGGUGAGGUAACGGCUCACCAAGGCCGCGAUGGGUAGCUGGUCUGAGAGGAUGAUCAGCCACACUGGAACUGAGACACGGUCCAGACUCCUACGGGAGGCAGCAGUCGGGAAUUUUGGGCAAUGGGCGAAAGCCUGACCCAGCAACGCCGCGUGAGGGAUGAAGGCCUUCGGGUCGUAAACCUCUGUCGAGAGGGACGAACGAUCAGCGGGUAAAUAAUCCGGUGGUCUGACGGUACCUCCAAAGGAAGUGCCGGCUAACUCCGUGCCAGCAGCCGCGGGUAAUACGGGAGGGCACAAGCGUUGUUCGGAAUUACUGGGCGUAAAGCGCGUGUAGGCGGCUUGGCAAGUCGGGUGUGAAAUCCCGGGGCCCAACCCCGGAACUGCACUCGAAACUUGCCUCGCUAGAAGUCCCCGGAGAGGAAGGCGGAAUUUCCCGGGUGUUAAAGGUGAAAAUUCGGUA
rnacentral:rRNA from 1 species